rnacentral:rRNA from 1 species
GACGAACGCUGGCGGCGUGCUUAACACAUGCAAGUCGAACGGAAAGGCCCUGCUUUUGUGGGGUGCUCGAGUGGCGAACGGGUGAGUAACAUGUGAGUAACCUGACCUUGACUUUGGGAUAACUUCAGGAAAUUGGGGCUAAUCCCGGAUAGGAGCUCCUGCUGCAUGGUGGGGGUUGGAAAGUUUCGGCGGUUGGGGAUGGACUCGCGGCGUAUCAGCUUGUUGGUGGGGUAGUGGCUUACCCAGGCUUUGACGGGUAGCCGGCCUGAGAGGGUGACCGGCAACGUUGGGACUGAGAUACGAGCCAGACGCCGACGGGAGGGAGCAGUGGGGGAAAUUGCACAAUGGGCGGAAGCCUGAUGCGACAGCGCCGCGUGCGGGAUGACGCCCUUCCGGUUGUAAAGCGCUUUCGCCUGUGACGAGGGGGGGGUGACGGUAAUGGGUAAAGAAGCACCGGCUAACUACGUG